GCUAAUACCGGAUAACAACAGAUGAUGCCUAUCAACUGUUUAAAAGAUGGUUCUGCUAUCACUCUUGGAUGGACCUGCGGUGCAUUAGCUAGUUGGUAGGGUAACGGCCCACCAAGGCGAUGAUGCAUAGCCGAGUUGAGAGACUGAUCGGCCACAUUGGGACUGAGACACGGCCCAAACUCCUACGGGAGGCAGCAGCU
rnacentral:rRNA from 1 species